CGGGUUUGGCAGGACGUUACU
rnacentral:siRNA from 1 species